rfam:Tupaia chinensis contig70179, whole genome shotgun sequence.
UGAUGACAAUCUCCGGAAUCGCUGCCUCGCGCUGAUGAAAGCACCUUAGAACCCUUUUCCCUCUGACCGCCACAUGCCGGC